rnacentral:rRNA from 1 species
UGGGGAAUUUUGGACAAUUGGGCGAAAGCCUGAUCCAGCAAUGCCGCGUGUGUGAAGAAGGCCUUCGGGUUGUAAAGCACUUUUGUCCGGAAAGAAAUCCUUGGCUCUAAUACAGUCGGGGGAUGACGGUACCGGAAGAAUAAGCACCGGCUAACUACGUGCCAGCAGCCGCGGUAAUACGUAGGGUGCAAGCGUUAAUCGGAAUUACUGGGCGUAAAGCGUGCGCAGGCGGUUUGCUAAGACCGAUGUGAAAUCCCCGGGCUCAACCUGGGAACUGCAUUGGUGACUGGCAGGCUAGAGUAUGGCAGAGGGGGGUAGAAUUCCACGUGUAGCAGUGAAAUGCGUAGAGAUGUGGAGGAAUACCGAUGGCGAAGGCAGCCCCCUGGGCCAAUACUGACGCUCAUGCACGAAAGCGUGGGGAGCAAACAGGAUUAGAUACCCCUGGUAGUCCACGCCCUAAACGAUGUCAACUAGUUGUUGGGGAUUCAUUUCCUUAGUAACGUAGCUAACGCGUGAAGUUGACCGCCUGGGGAGUACGGUCGCAAGAUUAAAACUCAAAGGAAUUGACGGGUCAUAGCUGUUU